rnacentral:tRNA from 1 species
CAGAAAAUAGUUUAAUUCAGAAUUCUGGCUUUGGGAGCCAGGGGUGGGAGUUAGAAUCUCCUUUUUCUGG